rnacentral:lncRNA from 1 species
GAGCUUCCCUGAAUUUGUCACUGUUUUAAAUAUUAAAAUAUUAAUUUAAUUACACCACAUAUGAUAUUAGUUGUAGAAAGAUGAGGUGAGCAGUUAGCAGUAGGAGAAGCAACGGUCGUUAGUGGACUGUCAAUGCAACGGUAACCUUAGAUAGAUGGCUCCAAAGCAAAACAAAACGGUCACUGAGGGGGCGGGGACCUACCUUUUAAUUCCAAUCUUAUCAGCUACUUUUUGAUUAAGUGGGCGACAAAAGAGUCAAACAUAAACUUGUAGCUGUGCUCUAAUAAUGUUGAUGCACGUAUGGUUACAGCUAUUUACGUGUUUGACCUUUUUCCAUUAACUUCAUUCAUAGGGCACUCUUUCCGUCGGCUACUCGGUUCUAUAUGCUCCACUCCUUUUCCUCUUUUGCCUACAACCCCUACUUUCUCUUCCUUUCGAU